GAUGAACGCUGGCGGCGUGCUUAACACAUGCCAGUCGAACGAGAAGUGAAGACGGAAACCUUCGGGCGGAAGGCUUUAUUUCGAGUGGCGGACGGGUGAGUAACGCGUGGGUAACCUGCCUCAUACAGGGGGAUAACAGUUGGAAACGACUGUUAAUACCGCAUAAGACCACCGCACCGCAUGGUGCGGGGGUAAAAACUCCGGUGGUAUGAGAUGGACCCGCGUUCGAUUAGCCAGUUGGCGGGGUAACGGCCCACCAAAGCGACGAUCGAUAGCCGAUCUGAGAGGAUGACCGGCCACAUUGGGACUGAGACACGGCCCAAACUCCUACGGGAGGCAGCAGUGGGGAAUAUUGCACAAUGGGGGAAACCCUGAUGCAGCGACGCCGCGUGAGUGAAGAAGUAUUUCGGUAUGUAAAGCUCUAUCAGCAGGGAAGAAAAUGACGGUACCUGAGUAAGAAGCCCCGGCUAACUACGUG
rnacentral:rRNA from 1 species